GUUAACUUGGUGGUCAAAUGGAGCACCGCGAGCCACUGAUGCAGACUAUACCGGUAGUAAUCACUCCCCCACCCUAGGAGUUUAGAGUGUCAGAGUGCAUGCUGGGAAUAUCCAGUGGCUGCGCUUUGACUCACUAGGAGCGUCGAACUGCAAGUAUGUGAUUACUGAGGUUUGCAGAUGUCACACGACUUGCCGCAGCAGCAAUCCUCCUCCAGGGCAAAAAGGUAAUACAACUGCCUGGUCUGCAGCUGGAAGUGCA